UGCAAACGUUGCUCGGAAUCAUUGGGCGUAAAGCGCACGUAGGCGGUCUGUUAUGUCAUAUGUGAAAGCCCUUGGCUCAACUGAGGAAGUGCAUCCGAAACUGGCAGGCUAGAGUACUAAAGAGGGUCGCGGAAUUCCCGGUGUAGAGGUGAAAUUCGUAGAUAUCGGGAGGAACACCGGUGGCGAAGGCGGCGACCUGGGUAGAUACUGACGCUGAGGUGCGAAGGCGUGGGGAGCAAACAGG
rnacentral:rRNA from 1 species